AUGGGAGCUAGUUUGAGAUCGGAAGAAGGGAGAAGUCAAAGAUGGACCAAGGUUAAAAAGGAGAACUGGGGGACGAUGCAACUAAAAUGCAUGCAUGAAGACGUGUCUCAGAAGCAGAUGACAUCCUCCAUGGCUAUUGCUGGGGCCGUGAUGGGAGCUGUGCUGGCACUCUUCCUCAUCACUGUCUUCACCGUCGUCCUCAUCACAGCACGCAAGGCUCCCUCACCCACAUACACAGAUAAAAUUGAGCCCUCUCUGAACCUUCUCAGCGCUGCUGUCAGAAGCGUCACUCUCAGAAGAGAUAAAAGAGACGCUGUUAUCUGUUUCGGCUGAUCCCUGUUCAGUCUCCGUGUGUCUUGGCACGGCUUUGCUUUGGCUGCAGGCUGCAUGCAGAUCAGCGUGGUGGGACAGCUGGGUUUGGUCUGAUGGAUGACGCUGCCUCUGCCCUGGAGACUGCAGGGACUCUGCGAGAGAUAAGCAGCGUUGUGAUGCUGAUCCACAGCGCUUUUGCAGGAAUGAAUGGAAAAAAUGUCCACAUAACUCUUGACAUCAAGAUCUGAUUGUAUACCCAGUAAGGGAUAAGAAAAAAAUGCACUUCCCUCAAAUGCUUCAAGAGGUAUUUUAAAGGUUUUGCCAUUUUGAUUUUGAGUCAUGAUGAUUUUGUUUUGAUAGCUCCAGUUCAUCUAAAGGAGCCUUGAAUUGUCCUUCACAAUGAUAUGGCAGCAUCUAAAGUAUUCUAAAGUAUAUAAUGUUCCUUGCAGUCUGAGAAGGAAACAAAUUAUUCUGACCUUCAAUUAUCAAUACGUGGGAGAGCUGAAAAGAGAGAAAAAUACAUGAGAACAAUACAAACUUAUUCCCUCUUUGAUGCAAAGUCUAACAUUUUGGCCCUUGUUUAGGUUCUUUGGACAUCCAGUGAGAGUGUCCAGGCCUGUCUGCAUCUUUACCUGCUUGUGCUACACAAAUACACAUAUCCACUCUAGUCCGUGAAUCACAUCGACUGCUUUUAAUCCUCUAUUUCAGCCAUAAUUAUUUUAUGGGAAAUGCUAAUGUGAUUCCAUAAUAGACCUAAUGAGUCAUAAAACACUUUUGUACACUGUUCCAUCUCCGUUUGGGCAGGGGACACAUUAGACAGGCUGAUAGUCCAUUGAAAAUCAAUUGUACAAAACAAUGUACUACUAAUGGUCGGAGAUUAAUGUUCACAGGAAGUGGAAAAACAAAGGCAAAGUUGAUCCCUUGAGGAAUGUGGAGCUUAUGGAUGCACACUGGCAAAAACACAUAUGAGGAGAGGUCACAGUUCACAUGUUUUCCCUAAAGGGGUUUUUAACCAAGAGGUGUGAACGAACUUAGUAUUUUAGGAGCUUGUUCUCACUGGUUGUCAAUGCUUUU
rnacentral:lncRNA from 1 species